rnacentral:rRNA from 2 species
UUUUAUGGAGAGUUUGAUCCUGGCUCAGGAUGAACGCUGGCGGCGUGCCUAAUACAUGCAAGUCGAGCGAACAGAUAAGGAGCUUGCUCCUUUGACGUUAGCGGCGGACGGGUGAGUAA